rnacentral:rRNA from 1 species
CUACGUAGGGGGCGAGCGUUGUCCGGAAUGAUUGGGCGUAAAGGGCGCGUAGGCGGCGCGGUAAGUCUGGAGUGAAAGUCCUGCUUUCAAGGUGGGAAUUGCUUUGGAUACUGCCGCGCUUGAGUGCAGGAGAGGUUAUCGGAAUUCCCGGUGUAGCGGUGAAAUGCGUAGAGAUCGGGAGGAACACCAGUGGCGAAGGCGGGUAACUGGACUGCAACUGACGCUGAGGCGCGAAAGUGUGGGGAGCAAACAGGAUUAGAUACCCUGGUAGUCCACACUGUAAACGAUGAAUACUAGGUGUCGGGUUUCUAUAGAGAUUCGGUGCCGCAGCAAACGCAAUAAGUAUUCCACCUGGGGAGUACGUUCGCAAGAAUGAAACUCAAAGGAAUUGACGGGG